rnacentral:rRNA from 1 species
AUUGAACGCUGGCGGCAUGCCUAACACAUGCAAGUCGAACGGCAGCGGGUGGUGUAGUAAUACACUAUGCCGGCGAGUGGCGGACGGGUGAGUAAUGCAUAGGAAUCUGCCUAAUAGACUGGGACAACUUGGGGAAACUCGAGCUAAUACCGGAUAAUCUCUACGGAGGAAAGGAUGGGACUUGAAAGAGCCAUUCGCUAAUAGAUGAGCCUAUGCGGAUUAGCUAGUUGGUGGGUAAAGCCUACCAAGGCGAUGAUCUGUAGCUGGUCUGAGAGGAUGGACAGCCACACUGGGACUGAGACACGGCCCAGACUCCUACGGGAGGCAGCAGUGGGGAAUAUUGGACAAUGGGGCAACCCUGAUCCAGCGAUGCCGCGUGUGCGAAGAAGGCCUGCGGGUU